rnacentral:rRNA from 1 species
UACAGAGGGUGCGAGCGUUAAUCGGAAUUACUGGGCGUAAAGCGUGCGUAGACGGCUAUCUAAGUCGGGUGUGAAAGCCCCGGGCUCAACCUGGGAAUUGCAUUCGAGACUGAAUAGCUAGGGUACGGUAGAGGGAAGCGGAAUUUCCGGUGUAGCGGUGAAAUGCGUAGAUAUCGGGAGGAACACCUGUGGCGAAAGCGGCGCACUGGACCAUAACUGACGCUGAUGCGCGAAAGCUAGGGGAGCAAACAGG